GGAGGAGAUAAGUGUUGAUGAAUAUACAGAUAAGUUCCUGGAAUUGUUGCCAUAUGUCGGUCAGGCAUAUGAUACAGAUCAGAAGAAGGCAAAGAGAUAUGCCACAAGGCUUCAUCCCAGGUAUUUCUCUUUGAUUCUUCAUGCGGAGAAGGAAAGUUUCCACUCUAUUGUGGAUGCUGCUAGAAAGAUGGAGGCCAGUGCUAUAAGUCAAGGUGUAGUCAAGGCACAGUCUUCUGGUGUUAAACCAGGUUCCUCCUCACAGGGUACAGUAAGUGCAAGUAAGAAGAGAUGGGAGAAAUUCAGAGGAAAGAG
rnacentral:lncRNA from 1 species